CGCGUAGGCGGUUUGCUAAGUUGAAUGUGAAAACUCUGGGCUUAACCCAGAGCCUGCAUUCAAUACUGGCAGGCUAGAGUUCUGGAGGGGAUAGCGGAAUUCCUGGUGUAGCGGUGAAAUGCGUAGAUAUCAGGAGGAACACCGGUGGCGAAGGCGGCUAUCUGGACAGAGUCUGACGCUGAGGCGCGAAAGCUAGGGGAGCAAACA
rnacentral:rRNA from 1 species